UACAAAUUCUGUAGGAAAGGUAAAUUGCUGACCCUUACUACCAAUUCUAGCUCAGCGACAUCAUCAUUAUUAUCAUUAUCAUGGAAUUGGAAGAAAAACACAGUUGACGGACGCAAGACUCUACAGUUUUGGGGUAGUCUACACUAGCAACUUUUGAAUGAAAAUAGCCCGUCUAGACAUUUUUUCCGAAAAAUGAAGGUCUUCCAGAUUAUGGAGCGCGUCUGUCGAAGAGUAUAAAGAGCACUUUCUCAAAAUUAUGUGAAGUCCAAUAUUCGAUGAGCAAUUCUGAUUGCAGUUAUUCUACACAGACGCGCGCGCAAACACAAGACCAGAUACAUAAAACACACAGUGUGUAUACAUCUCAUAAUGAUUUAAAGAAUAACUAUAUGCAGAGUUUACUUUUCCAUCGAGCAAAUCGAUUUACCAAAGAGAAUCAUACGAACUUGAAUAAAGAAAGCAGUCUGGCUACAGGAACAUUACAUUUUGUCUAUGAACAGAGGCAC